rnacentral:rRNA from 1 species
GCUUGAACUGCCAGUGAACGAUUCAGAGAUGAUGAGGCCCUUCGGGGCGCUGGUGAAGGUGCUGCAUGGUUGUCGUCAGCUCGUGCCGUGAGGUGUCGGCUUAAGUGCCAUAACGAGCGCAACCCCUUUCGUCAGUUGCCAUCAGGUAAUGCUGGGCACUCUGGCGACACUGCCACCGUAAGGUGUGAGGAAGGUGGGGAUGACGUCAAAUCAGCACGGCCCUUACGUCCGGGGCUACACACGUGUUACAAUGGUCGGUACAGAGGGAAGCCAGGCGGCGACGCCGAGCGGAUCUCGAAAGCCGGCCGUAGUUCGGAUCGGAGUCUGCAACUCGACUCCGUGAAGCUGGAUUCGCUAGUAAUCGCAUAUCAGCCAUGAUGCGGUGAAUACGUUCCCGGGCCUUGUACACACCGCCCGUCAAGCCAUGGGAGCCGAGGGUGCCUGAAGUACGUAACCGCGAGGAGCGUCCUAGGGUAAAAUUGGUGACUGGGGCU